rnacentral:misc_RNA from 1 species
ACACCUCAACUCUCAUGGUCUGCCAUGAUGAGCUUGGACUUUGGGGGUCUUGCCGGCCUAGCGUCGGCUCCUCUCAAAUGCAUCAGCUUGCCAGUGUUUGGUGGCAUCACGGGUGUGAUAACUAUCUACGCUUGUGGUUCUCUGCCAUGUAACCUUCAGUGAUGGAGGUUCGCUGGAGCUCACAGAAGUCUCUCCUCGCGAGGACAGCUUUUUGAAC